GGAGUGAGAGCGCUUCAGGAAGCUCAGAGGAUCCGCUGUGCUGCCGAUAUUUUCUGGAUUCAGAAACGGUUUUGCCGAGUCAGGACACAGAUAGCGAUUGUCCUCCGUGUAAAGGUUUGUCUAACAAGAGUGUCAAUGGAAGCCUCUGAUCAUCUGAAACUAAGGGUCACCUUUACAGUGAAUUCCACAGGAUCAUCAAUCUCCCACUUUCCUUCUUUGCUCCCUCUUUACACUGCUACUGCAGACUGGGUUUGGGGAGAAAAUGGAGGAGCUUUUCAUUGCAUAUGAUGCUCGGGUAACUAUUCUAAAGUACUUUUUAUAGAUCAAUGCAAGUGAAAGACUCCUACAAUUACUUUUGUUUGUACAACAGGACAAGAACAACAUCAGUGCAGCCCUGGCUGUUAAGCUGUACCUAAAGGAGGAUUCCUCCCAGACCUUCAACACACCUGCAAGGUAUUUUUGUGUUCUCCUAUCCAUCACACAAUAACAUGUUUAUUUUGCAAAGACGAAUCAGUUACUGGACCAUAGUUUGAUAUUACUAUCUAUGCUGUUGUCUUGAAAUACGCUCAGUGUAUUUGACUGAUAGGUCAAGGAGCAGUAGGUCAAGUUCAUAAUAAAUGCAAAGAAUGCCCC
rnacentral:lncRNA from 1 species